GCCAGGUGUGUUGGUGCUCACCUGUAAUCCCAGCAGCUCGGGAGGCUGAGACAGGAGAAUCUCAAAGCCAGCCUCAACAAUGGUGAGGCGCUAAGCAACUCAGUGAGACCCUGUCUCUA
rnacentral:sRNA from 1 species